rnacentral:rRNA from 1 species
UACGAAGGGGGCUAGCGUUGCUCGGAAUCACUGGGCGUAAAGGGUGCGUAGGCGGAUCUUUAAGUCGGGGGUGAAAUCCUGGAGCUCAACUCCAGAACUGCCUUCGAUACUGGCGAUCUUGAGUCUGGGAGAGGUGAGUGGAACUCCGAGUGUAGAGGUGAAAUUCGUAGAUAUUCGGAAGAACACCAGUGGCGAAGGCGGCUCACUGGCCCGGUACUGACGCUGAGGUGCGAAAGCGUGGGGAGCAAACAGG